AACGAACGCUGGCGGCAGGCCUAACACAUGCAAGUCGAGCGCGCCCUUCGGGGUUAGCGGCGGACGGGUGAGUAACGCGUGGGAACGUGCCCUUUUCUACGGAAUAGCCUCGGGAAACUGAGAGUAAUACCGUAUACGCCCUCUGGGGGAAAGAUUUAUCGGAAAAGGAUCGGCCCGCGUUGGAUUAGGUAGUUGGUGGGGUAAUGGCCUACCAAGCCGACGAUCCAUAGCUGGUUUGAGAGGAUGAUCAGCCACACUGGGACUGAGACACGGCCCAGACUCCUACGGGAGGCAGCAGUGGGGAAUCUUAGACAAUGGGGGCAACCCUGAUCUAGCCAUGCCGCGUGAGUGAUGAAGGCCUUAGGGUUGUAAAGCUCUUUCAGCUGGGAAGAUAAUGACGGUACCAGCAGAAGAAGCCCCGGCUAACUCCGUG
rnacentral:rRNA from 1 species